GAUGAACGCUGGCGGCGUGCCUAAUACAUGCAAGUCGAGCGAACAGACGAGGAGCUUGCUCCUCUGACGUUAGCGGCGGACGGGUGAGUAACACGUGGAUAACCUACCUAUAAGACUGGGAUAACUUCGGGAAACCGGAGCUAAUACCGGAUAAUAUAUUGAACCGCAUGGUUCAAUAGUGAAAGACGGUUUUGCUGUCACUUAUAGAUGGAUCCGCGCCGCAUUAGCUAGUUGGUAAGGUAACGGCUUACCAAGGCAACGAUGCGUAGCCGACCUGAGAGGGUGAUCGGCCACACUGGAACUGAGACGCGUUCCAGACUCCUACGGGAGGCAGCAGUAGGGAAUCUUCCGCAAUGGGCGAAAGCCUGACGGAGCAACGCCGCGUGAGUGAUGAAGGUCUUCGGAUCGUAAAACUCUGUUAUUAGGGAAGAACAAAUGUGUAAGUAACUAUGCACGUCUUGACGGUACCUAAUCAGAAAGCCACGGCUAACUACGUG
rnacentral:rRNA from 1 species